GAUGAACGCUGGCGGCGUGCCUAAUACAUGCAAGUCGAGCGAGCAAAACUGACACUUUCACCUCUGUCAUUACCUUCGGACAGCUAACUGCCGCUUGGAUAGCCUCCCUAUGGGACCCGGAUCCCUUCUGUGGACCACAGCUAGUAACGAGUAAUAUAUUCCACCUCAUGAUUCAGUUGUCAUAGACAGUUUUGCUAUCACUUAUAGAUCGGUCCGCAUCGCAUUGCCCCGCUGUGCAUUAGCUAGUUGGCAAGGUCAAGGCUUACUAAGGCAACGAUGCGUAGCCGACUUGAGAGGGUGAUCGGCCACACUGGAACUGAGACACGGUCCAGACUCCUACGGGAGGCAGCAGUAGGGAAUCUUCCGCAAAGGACGAAAGCCUGAUGGAGCAACGCCGCGUGAGUGAAGAAGGUUUUCGGAUCGUAAAGCUCUGUUAUUAGUGAAGAAGAAAAGUGGAAGUAACUAGGCACGACUUGACGGUAACUAAUCAGAAAGCCACGGCUAACUACGUG
rnacentral:rRNA from 1 species